AUAAGCGGAGGAAAAGAAACUAACAAGGAUUCCCCUAGUAACGGCGAGUGAAGCGGGAAGAGCUCAAAUUUGUAAUCUGGCGGUCUCGCGGCCGUCCGAGUUGUAAUCUGGAGAAGCGUUUUCGGUGCCGGCCCGCGUACAAGUCCCCUGGAACGGGGCGUCGCAGAGGGUGAGAAUCCCGUCUCUGACGCGGCACGCCGGCGCCGUGCGAUGCGCUCUCGAAGAGUCGAGUUGUUUGGGAAUGCAGCUCAAAACGGGUGGUAAAUUCCAUCUAAAGCUAAAUACUGGCGAAAGACCGAUAGCGAACAAGUACCGUGAGGGAAAGAUGAAAAGCACUUUGGAAAGAGAGUCAAACAGUACGUGAAAUUGUUGAAAGGGAAACGCUUGAAGUCAGUCGCGUCUCUCGGGACUCAGUCGGACCUAGGGUCCGACGCACUUCCCGAGUCGGACGGGCCAGCGUCGAUUUCUAUCGCCGUAAAAAGGCGCGAGGAACGUGGCACCUUCGGGUGUGUUAUAGCCUCGCGUCGUAUGCGGCGGUCGGGAUCGAGGAACGCAGCGCGCGCCUUAGGCACGGGUUCGCCCACGUAACGCGCUUGGGACGCUGGCGUUAUGGCUUUAA
rnacentral:rRNA from 1 species